CUCUGGAAUUCUCCUCCCCAAAACUUUUGGAGGGAAAAUUCAAAUGUAACAGGACACAGGACAGUUAGAUGAGCAGAGGACACACAGUGUGGAGCAGGAGGAUUAUGAGAGCUGAUCUGGAGAGUCGUCUACAAAGAGUGACGUCCAGAGCUCUGCUGGAGCUGUGGGGAAGUUCAUGAAUGUUAUAGUUGAUGUUUCAGAAAAAAGGAAGAUGUUUGAGAACCAACAAAACACAGACCACAGAUGAACAAAGUGAUGUGGCACUAGGAGACUUUAUACCAGAUGCCCUCCCUGUUACUGUGUUUAGAGGAAGAAAAGCAGCACAUGAGACCAGAGCUUCUUCACUGGAAUAAAUCUUCACACUGUCCAGCUCCAAACUGUGUGUCUCUGUCCCUGUGCUCUCUUUGUGUUUGAUUCUGUUUAAGACAAUACAGAACUG